rnacentral:misc_RNA from 1 species
GAUGAAGAACGCAGCGAAAUGCGAUACGUAAUGUGAAUUGCAGAAUUCAGUGAAUCAUCGAGUCUUUGAACGCACAUUGCGCCCCCUGGUAUUCCGGGGGGCAUGCCUGUCCGAGCGUCAUUGCUGCCCUCAAGCACGGCUUGUGUGUUGGGCCUCCGUCCUCCUCCCGGGGGACGGGCCCGAAAGGCAGCGGCGGCACCGCGUCCGGUCCUCGAGCGUAUGGGGCUUCGUCACCCGCUCUUGUAGGCCCGGCCGGCGCUUGCCGACACAUCAAUCUUUUUUCCAGGUUGACCUCGGAUCAGGUAGGGAUACCCGCUGAACUUAAGCAUAUCAAAGCGGCGGA